rnacentral:rRNA from 1 species
CCUACGGGUGGCAGCAGUGAGGAAUAUUGGUCAAUGGACGCAAGUCUGAACCAGCCAUGCCGCGUGCAGGAAGACGGCUCUAUGAGUUGUAAACUUCUUUUGUCCGAGGAUAAAUCCCGAUACGUGUAUCUGGUUGAAAGUAUCGUACGAAUAAGGAUCGGCUAACUCCGUGCCAGCAGCCGCGGUAAUACGGAGGAUUCAAGCGUUAUCCGGAUUUAUUGGGUUUAAAGGGUGCGCAGGCGGAUUGUUAAGUCAGCGGUCAAAUCGUGGGGCUCAACCCCAUCCAGCCGUUGAAACUGGGGAUCUAGAGUGGGAGAGAGGUAUGCGGAAUGCGUGGUGUAGCGGUGAAAUGCAUAGAUAUCACGCAGAACCCCGAUUGCGAAGGCAGCAUACCGGUGCACAACUGACGCUCAGGCACGAAAGCGUGGGUAUCGAACAGGAUUAGAUACCCGGGUAGUC